GCAGGAGUGAUUUGUGAUAGAAGGGUAUCUGCAAGAGUAAAAGGGAAAGGUUAUAGGACUGUGGUUAGACCUGCUAUUUUGUAUGGUAUGGAUGAGUGCUCAUCAAUUAAAACUUAAUCCUAGCAAAACCGAACUGCUGGUCAUCCCAGGUGAUUCAUCUCCAGGUCAAGAGCUCCGAACAACUCUUCAUGACUGUCAGGGUCUGGAAAUUUUUGGGUUGUUUGUUUUUGCUUUGGCCACCAGAUGCCGCCACUGGUCCCUUAUCCCCCCCCCCAGUCCCUUAUCUUCUACUCCCUAACCCCUAACGGUUUAAUGUCUCCCACCUGCUCCUUGUUAGUGUUGUGUAUUUAAAUUACCCCUUUUGCCUUGGUCCUUGUUGGUUUAUUAUUUUUGUCGUGGUAUAGUCGGCUUUAUAUUGGUCUUGGUAUUUGGCUGUCUUGAUAUUUUUAUUUGAAUCUGGAUCUGUGUAGGUUUGUUUGUUGUUCUGUUUGGUGACUGUCUUUCUAUUUAUGGUUGUUUGAUUUCUUUAAGUCUCCUGUUUUCUUCGGUUUUCCCUGGUUUCCUGUUUUCCUUAGUAUCCUGGCUUCUUCUAUCUUCCCAAGUCUUCGGUUUUUCCUAGCCUCCUGGCUUCUCCGGUCUUCCCAAGUCUUCUGUGUUCCUGAGUUUCCUGGCUUCUUCCCUCUUCCCUAGUCUUCUGUUUUCUUGAGUCUCCUGACUUCUCCGGUCUUCAAGUCUCCUGGUAUCUCCUGUCUUCCCGAGACUCUUUGUUCUGUUUUGACAUUACUUAAAUUUGAAUUAGUCUUGUUUUAUUAUUUUGUAUUGACAACCCACUCUCCCUGCUGGACUUAUUAUUUUCAUUAAAAUAAAUCAUGCCAUUGCACAUCUUGAGUGUGUCUGCAGUUGGGUUCCAAUGCCUCCCCGUGGCAGACUGCUAGAAUGUAUGCCACUCGCUCUAGUGACCAGAGAGUCUCAAACCUGACAAUGAGUCUCUGAUUUCCCCUUUAGCCACUGCUCACAACCUCGGGGUAACUAUGAACAUUCAACUGUCCUUCUCCUCAAAUGUUGCUUAUGUGGCUCAUUGUUGUCGAUUUCUUCUCUACAACAUCUGAAGGAUUCGAUUCUAUCCACACAGGCUGCCCAGAUGCUUGUACAGUCUCUCUUUAUUUUGAGACUGGACUACUACAACUCUCUGCCAGCAUUUCUACCUCUGAAUUCUAUUCAUCUACUGCAAAUGAUCCAAAAUUCAAAUCUGCCCAAUCCUCCCACAUCACUGCUGUGCUUUCUCCACUGGCAUCCAGUAGCUGUAUGUAUCAGAUUCAAUACACUGAUGCUUGCAUUCAAGGCUAAAAAUAGACCAGCACCAUCUUACCUCAGAGACCUCAUCACACAUUGCACUGCACCAUGUUGUCUGAGAUCCUCCAGCACUGCUCUACUGGUACCACCUUCUCUCAGGAUAAGAGGUAAGUAUACUUCAAGGCUUUUCUCUGUUAUGGCACCAAGGUAGUAAAAUGAUCUUAGAAUUAGAAUGAACCCCUAGAUGUCUGAACAGAGGGGUCCCUGGCUUCAAGUGAUAAUUGAAGACCUACCUCUUCCGGAAACACCUAAACAAACACUUUCCAUAUUUGCUUUAAGUUUGUAAUCUAGCGUACAAGUGUAAAUGUAUUAAUUGCUAGAGACUCAAAGCACUCUUGAGGGUCGCUCUGGGUAAGGGUGUCUGCUAAAUGCCACAAAUGAAAAUGCAAGACAUGCAGGUAGUUGGUUUGAAAGAGGCAGAUGUGGAGGACAGGGGGUAUGGAGAUGGAUGAACCUCUGUGGUGACCCCUAAUGGGAGAAGCUGGAAAAAGAAGAAUAGUAUAAACUAUAAUAAUGCAUUGGAUUUACUGGAGAAUUUUCCACCCCUGCAUGGAGUGCUGUUCCUUCUGUGUUCCUGGGAAAGGCUUCAGAUCCACUGCCCCAUAGUUUCUUUUUUUGAGUUACGUGCGAGUCAGAAAAGUGCUGACUGUGUAAACUUGUGUUCCAACAACAACCUUUUUGCUACUUCAUCCCCUGGAGCAGUGGUGGAAUCCAAAUAAAUGAAGACCUGACAACAGCAAUAACGAUUAAGGACAGAUGGUCUUACUUUAAUGUUUUUUUUUGUUUUUUUUUUCUGGAACAUUGAUGAACAUUGAUGAAUGUCCCUGCAAUAGGAAUACUUGCAGAGUGAAUGAGUAUGAGCUGAUUGUAAUUCAAUAGUAAAACAAUUAUCACUAAACUGGAUAAACAUCCUCUGGACAUGAAUGUAUAGUAUUAUUUCAUAACACAUGAUGAAAAGGACCAUUCAAUUGCAAAAAAAAAAUAAAAAAUCUGAUAACUA